rnacentral:rRNA from 1 species
UACUCGAGUGGCGAACGGGUGAGUAACACGUGGGUGAUCUGCCCUGCACUCUGGGAUAAGCCUGGGAAACUGGGUCUAAUACCGGAUAGGAACCAUCUUUAGUGUGGUGGUUGGAAAGUUUUUUCGGUGUAGGAUGAGCUCGCGGCCUAUCAGCUUGUUGGUGGGGUAAUGGCCUACCAAGGCGGCGACGGGUAGCCGGACUGAGAGGUUGGUCGGCCACAUUGGGACUGAGAUACGGCCCAG